rnacentral:rRNA from 1 species
UGGGGAAUAUUGCACAAUGGGCGCAAGCCUGAUGCAGCAAUGCCGCGUGUGUGAAGAAGGCUUUAGGGUUGUAAAGCACUUUCAAUAGAGAAGAAAAGCUUAGAGUUAAUAACUCUAAGCAUUGACGUAACCUAUAGAAGAAGCACCGGCUAAAUCCGUGCCAGCAGCCGCGGUAAUACGGAUGGUGCGAGCGUUAAUCGGAAUUACUGGGCGUAAAGCGUACGUAGGCUGUUUUAUAAGUCGGAUGUGAAAUCCCCGGGCUCAACCUGGGAACUGCAUCCGAAACUAUUUAACUAGAGUAUGGGAGAGGUAAGUAGAAUUUCCGGUGUAGCGGUGAAAUGCGUAGAUAUCGGAAGGAAUACCAGUGGCGAAGGCGGCUUACUGGACCAAUACUGACGCUGAGGUACGAAAGCGUGGGGAGCGAACAGG